rnacentral:lncRNA from 1 species
CCCACGCGCGUCGUGUCCUGCGCAGAAUCGCAUGGAAUAUUUCAUUUAUUACAAUAUGAAGUAUCAUGGAAUCGCACGUGUGACUGUAUGUUGGCCGAGUGCAUAUCAAAUUAUCAAUGGUGUAAAUGUAUAACAUGUAACAAUACCAUAAAUAAUUGAAAGGCAUAUAUAGGUGUGUAUUUGGAUAAUGUUGUAUUUGAUUGGAUUAGGGCUUGGUAAUGCAAAAGACAUCAGUGUUAAAGGACUUGAAAUAGUGAAGAAUGCUAAAGAAGUAUAUCUUGAAGCUUACACCUCGAUUCUCACUGUUGGAAAAGAUGCUUUGG